rnacentral:rRNA from 1 species
UACGGAGGGUGCAAGCGUUGUCCGGAUUUAUUGGGUUUAAAGGGUGCGUAGGCGGUCUUGUAAGUUAGGUGUUUAAUCCCGGGGCCCAACCCCGGACCGGCACCUAAAACUGGGAGUCUUGAAUAGUGGAGAGGUCAGUGGAAUUGGGGGUGUAGCGGUGGAAUGCGUAGAGAUCCCCAAGAACACCAGUUGCGAAGGCGGCUGACUGGACACAUAUUGACGCUGAGGCUCGAAAGCAUGGGGAGCAAACAGGG